GCAGCUUCGGCACAAUCAGCCUGUUUGCUCAGCCGGAGGGGCGGCGGGGGAGUACGGGGGAGUCCUCACCAUGCUGCCACGCUGCUUUUCGCUGGGUCACAAAAAUGAAGGUGCAGCUUCUCUCAGGAGCUCAGGAGCAUUCGCAUCACAUGUUGGCAUCGCGGGAGGUUGUGCCACAACAGCAGUGCCAACCCUCCGGGCUAACUUCGUCGUGCAGGAUGAGGCCCCGCGAUGCCUGGUGCUGGGUGGUGGUGCUGCUGCUCGCCCUCUUCAGCGAUGCUGCCGGUGGCCGCCGUGGAGCUGGAGGAAGAGCCGGGGCACGUGGAGGAGGAGGCGGUGGUGGCGGGGGGCUGCGCGGGGGCUUUCGCGCUGUCUCCCGUGGCGGCGGCACCCCUAGCCGUGGCUCUAAGGUGGCAGGGGCCAUCGCGGCUGGUGCUGCCGCGGGGUACGGCAUGGGGCUCCUGGGACGCCCGCGGCCAUCUCGUCUUGGCCACGGCCCCCCAGCCGCCCGGCAGCCUCCACUGGUGGGGGGGUUUCAUGCCCCAGUUUGGCCAGAGCUGGGGGCCAAGCGGGGACCCCCCAGCCGAGCCCCCAGGGACCAGCACGAUGGCAUUGUCCCCACUCUGCUGCUGGCUAAUGCCAUCUGCUUCGUCAGCCACAGGAUGCAGUUCUGAGCAUCAGUGUGGGGAGGGGGCACGGGCACCUGGGUGACCCCUCUGAGCCGAAGCUGUGGGGAUUUACUGGUGCGUGACUGUGCUGGGAGGUGGGAUGGGGCUUGGGGGGAGGCGGGAGGAUGCUGCUGUCUUGGUUUCCCCCACUGGCAUGACGGGACCCUCUGUGAGAGCUGGAGCCGAGCAGCCAUCACCACACUUGCGGCCACCUUGGGGCCAACUGGAUCCUGCAAACCCAUCAAGCAUACAAUCAAAUCAAGCCCUGCAAGGAAGUGUCAAUAUUUGCACUUGGAUGGUGGCAGGCAGCCCCGGAUCAGCCCCACCAGCCAUGGUGCUUGGGAUCUGGUUUUGCACUGCACAGCUUUGCAAAAAGAUGCCCCUCCCCCCCCAGAAAAAAGCACAGAGAUUCAGUGGGGACAUGGGGCUCCAAAAUGAACCCCUUUGACUUGCAAUAAAGUUUGGCCUAGAGACA
rnacentral:lncRNA from 1 species